rnacentral:rRNA from 1 species
GUUGAACGCUGGCGGCAGGCCUAAUACAUGCAAGUCGAGCGAUCACAGGAGACGGUUUGCUGUUUCACUGACGCGUGGCGGGCGGGUGUGACAUGUCGGGAACACAGCCUUAUGGCGGGGGAUAACUACUGAAACCGGUGGCUAAUCCGGCAUAACGACUCAACACCAAGGUGCGAUAGUUUCAGGCCGCUUUCCUUUGGAUUUUCCCAGAUUGGAUUAGCUAGUAGGUAGGGUAACGGCUAACCUAGGCGACGAUCCCUAGCUGGUCUGAGAGGAUGACCAGCCACACUGGAACUGAGACACGGUCCAGACUCCUACGGGAGGCAGCAGUGGGGAAUCUUCCACAAUGGGCGAAAGCCUGAUGGAGCCACGCCGCGUGUAUGAUGAAGGUCUUCGGGUCGUAAAGUACUUUCAGCGGGGAUGAAGGGAGUUAAGAGAAUCUCUUCGCUCAUUGACGUUACCUGCAGAGGAAGCACCGGCUAACUCCGUG